CCAUUUGUAAUCUGCAGUACUCUCGUUUUAUUUGUUGCAUUAUCUCGUCUGUUGUGAUUUUCUCAUCCUUCUUCAUCUUUAUUAUUCAGUGCUCCUCUAGCUCGAAUAAAUGGACUGGUAUUUGCAACUUGCUUUGCAGAUUCUUCAAGUUUAUCGAAUGCUGCAUUGCAUACUCCAAGCUCAUCCAACAUUUGCUGUGUAUAAAGGAUAUAAAGAUGCUUUUGCUGCCAUGAGAAUAGCAGAAAAGAAAUUUAUGUGUGUUUCAAGGUCCAGAAUACUGCUAGUGAAGCUACAGGUGCUACAUGAGUGUGCCUUACAUAGGGGACACUUAAAACUUGCUUAGCAAUUCUGUGAUGCGCUUGGUGUUUUGGCCUCUUGUGUAAGUGGUAUGGACAUGGAGUUAAAGAUGGAAGCUAGUCUCCGUCAUGCUCGGACAUUGCUUUCUGCCAACCAGUAUAGGUUAAGAGAAUCUUCCUGAUAUUUAUGUUCAAUAAAAUCAAUGAGAAAUCUCGAAUAUUGCUUAUUUUGGAUUUUUGGUUGGUGCUUCAUGUUAUGAUACCCAUGUAUACAAUUGAAUGCUAAUGUAUAAUUUCUUAGUUCAAACUCGAAAAAUUCAGGAAACUGAGAAAAUUUUGGACUUUCUGCAUUUGUAUUUCCAUCAGAACCCUGUUGAAGUAUUCUCCCAACCUCUGCCCGCUCUGCCCCCACGCGACGUUGAAGCUUCAGUAUUUUUAUGAAUUGGGACGAGUGAAAAUGGGUAUGGGUAGUAAUCUGUGGAGAUGGGACGAUUCUUCAGGUUGAAAAAUGGGGGAGGAUUAUGAAGCAUUGCAAUUGUGUAAUAUGGAUUCAAUGUAUUCAGAAACAAGUCCAUUCAGUGAAAGGUGGCAAUUUUUUGCAGUAUGUCAUUGUCCAUUGAGGACUUGGUGCGAAGAAAUGGCAAAAGACAGGCAAGAUAUGAAAGCUCGCAUGGUAAUAAAAACAAAUUAUGGAACUCAUAAAGAAGGUGCUAUAAGAUAGUCUAUUCCUCUGUCUCUUUUCUGGGAGUUGGGGAGUUAGUUUACACUGGAUCAUAGAACUUGGGUGACAUUCUCCUGUCAGUUCUUAUUAGUCUGAAUGAGAGAGGUCUCUGGAAACCACCAAAGGUGUGUAUAUUAAGUCAGGGUUUUGGAUCGGGAGAAAGUUGGUUCUGUUGCAUUCUUUUACGACUGUGUGUAAGAUCAGCUCUCCAAAAAGACAAAUAAGUACUAUUAUUCUGUUAGUCUUUGCCUUUUAAGAGCAUCCGAGUUAACUGAUUCAUUUGUCAAUUUGAUUUCUACGUGAGUUGUUCUCGCAGGCCGCAGCUGUUGCACACUCUCUAUUCUCCACCUGUUAUAAGUUUAACUUGCAAGUUAAAAAUGCCACUGUUCUUCUCUUGCUGGCUGAGAUACACAAGAGGUCAGGCAAUGCUGUUUUAGGAAUUCCAUAUGCUCUGUGGCUUGCAUUUCCUUUUGUCAGUCAUUUAACUUGGAUCUUCUUAAAGCCUCCGCAACACUAACACUGGCUGAGCUAUGGCUCUCUCUUGGAUCAAAUCAUGCGAAAAAGGCUUUGGCCCUUCUACACAGCUCUUUCCCGGUACUUCUUGGUCAUGGUGGACUGGAGCUCCGGUCUCGCGCAUUUAUAACAGAGGCAAAAUGCUAUUUAGCGGAUCCAAGCUUUUCAGUUUCAGACAGUCCAGAGAUGGUGCUAGAACCUUUAAGACAAGCUUCAGAAGAACUUCAACUCUUGGAGUAUAAUGAGUUAGCAGCAGAAGCAUUCUACUUGAUGGCCAUUGUCUACAACAAGUUGGGGCAGGUGGAUGAGAGGGAAGAAGCUGCGUCUGCAUUUAGGAAGCAUAUUACAGCAUUUGAGAAUCCAGAAGACUUGGAUGAUUCCGUCUACCGUACAUUGUAAAUAAAGUUUGUGUAUGAACGUAUGUGCAUCGUAACGAUAUUGAUUGUUAUUAGCAAUCUUUAAGGAAUAAGUAUGUUUGUUUGCUGAUAUCUGUGGUGUCAGCAUGUAGUUACCAUGUUGUUGAGUAAGUUUUGAGGUAAUUCUUCCUUUUGGGAUGUGAAGUUGUGUUCUACAUAUUGUUUUAUUCA